GUCUGGUGCCAGCAGCCGCGGUAAUUCCAGCUCCAAUAGCGUAUAUUAAACUUGUUGCAGUUAAAAAGCUCGUAGUUGAAUUUUAGCGUGUUCGAGUUUGCCAUUCGUUUGGCUUUUUCGAGUUCGCUUUUGGGUUUUCCCUUUUUACUUUGAGAAAAUUAGAGUGUUUCAAGCAGACUUUUGUCUUGAAUACUUCAGCAUGGAAUAAUAGAGUAGGACUUUGGUUCUAUUUUGUUGGUUAUUGAACCUUAGUAAUGGUUAAUAGGAACGGUUGGGGGCAUUCGUAUUUAACUGUCAGAGGUGAAAUUCUUAGAUUUGUUAAAGACGAACUACUGCGAAAGCAUUUGCCAAGGACGUUUCCAUUAAUCAAGAACGAAAGUUAGGGGAUCGAAGACGAUCAGAUACCGUCGUAGUCUA
rnacentral:rRNA from 1 species